CCCUUCCUGUUUUGUUGGUCUGGAAACCCCUUACAUUUCAAAUGAAGAGGCACAUGUGGACUGAACCUAAGGUGAAACGGAUGAAUCCCUUGAAAAGGAGAGGGAACUUCUCUAUGAGUACAAGAAGAGAGACAACAACAGAGUAAUUCAUGAGAAGAUGGCAAACACCUUCUCACUGCGUCGUAAAGAUGUGAUCCAGAAACCACCUGUGGUUGACUUAUAUGCUCCAUGGCCUGCCCUGUUUGAGUUUUCCCAGAUUGAGUAGGAAUUCCGAAUGAUCACACUGAAGCCACUACAGUCAACAUUCUUUGGGAAGCUGGACGAACACUCGGCUAAAUUGUUGAGACUCUACAGUAGGAAGGGAGGAGCUGUUGGGAAGAAACUUGAUGAGACUCUUGAAAUCAUGA